GAUGAACGCUGGCGGCGUGCCUAAUACAUGCAAGUCGAGCGGUAACACUUCGGGUGACGAGCGGCGGACGGCUGAGUAACACGUAGGAAUCUACCCCAGACUGAGGGAUAAGCACCGGAAACGGUGUCUAAUACCGCAUACGCUCUAAGGAGUAAAGCUUCGGCGGUUUGGGAAGAGCCUGCGCAUGAUUAGCUUGUUGGUAAGGUAAUGGCUUACCAAGGCGACGAUCAUUAGCUGGUCUGAGAGGAUGAUCAGCCAGACUGGGACUGAGACACGGCCCAGACUCCUACGGGAGGCAGCAGUAGGGAAUUUUCCACAAUGGGCGAAAGCCUGAUGGAGCAACGCCGCGUGCAGGAUGAAGGCCUUCGGGUUGUAAACUGCUUUUAUAUGUGAAGAUUAUGACGGUAGCAUAUGAAUAAGGAUCGGCUAACUCCGUGCCAGCCGCCGCGGUAA
rnacentral:rRNA from 1 species